rnacentral:rRNA from 1 species
AUUGAACGCUGGCGGCAGGCUUAACACAUGCAAGUCGAGCGAGCGGCGGACGGGUGAGUAAUGUCUGGGAAACUGCCUGAUGGAGGGGGAUAACUACUGGAAACGGUAGCUAAUACCGCAUACCAUCAGAUGUGCCCCGCGGGGAUUAGCUAGUAGGUGGGGUAAUGGCUCACCUAGGCGACGAUCCCUCGCUGGUCUGAGAGGAUGACCAGACACACUGGAACUGAGACACGGGCCAGACGCGUACGGGAGGCAGCAGUGGGGAAUAGUGCAAAAUGGGAGCAAGCAUGAUGCAGCCAUGCCGAGUGUGUGAAGAAGGACUUCGGGUUGUAAAGCAAUUUCAGCGAGGAGGCGUUACUCGCAGAAGAAGCACCGGCUAACUCCGUGCCAGCAGCCGCGGUAAUUC